UGCCAGCCGCCGCGGUAACAUGGGGGGCGCAAGCGUUAUUCGGAAUUAUUGGGCGUAAAGAGCGCGUAGGCCGGAAUGGAAGUCAGAUGUGAAAGCCCGGAGCUCAACUCCGGAAUUGCAUCCGAAACUCCAUUUCUUGAGGACAGGCGGAGAAGGCGGAAUUCCACGUGUAGCGGUGAAAUGCGUAGAUACGUGGAAGAACACCGGUGGCGAAGGCGGCCUUCUAGCUUGUUCCUGACGCUGAGGCGCGAAAGCAAGGGGAGCAAACAGGAUUAGAUA
rnacentral:rRNA from 1 species